AAAAACGAAGAUGAACUACAUCUAUGGCAGUAGGGAUGGCAGAAAUUCUUGUUAAGUCGGAUACUCGUUGGAUCUUUGUCCCUAAUAGGAAGCGAUUUCUGGGCCAAACGGAGAUCCUAAAAUUUUAAAAAUCCUCGACAUGUACGGCCGGGGAUAAUAUUGAUGUCCUAAUCCUCGAUCCGUCCCGAUAAUUAUUUGCUUCUUUUUAAAUUAAUAAAUAUAUAAUAUAAUAUUUUGCUUCUUUUUUUUUUUUUUUCCUUUUUCCAAUUCUUCUAUUUUCUAAGUUGAAAAUGUCAAAAAUAGAUUUUUUAAUUCCAGCUAUACAAAUAAAUUUUUUUUGGUCAUACUAAAAGAGGCCCUUGUCACUCAAAAAUCAUAGACGAUAACCCACCAAUAAUACAAAGUUUAAGUAAAACCCAAUUUUAAAUUUGGAUGACAAUGUGUCCAUGUAAGUUGAGUUAUUUAUAAAUCAUGUCACUAGAUCUUUAUUUGGUGGCUGACCGUUUUUCAGCCCCUAAUUUAAAUGCAAAUGAUUAAUACCUUCCCUAAGUUUCAAUUUUUGAAAGAUACGAGGAUAAGCAAAAAUGCCAACCAAUUGAAAAGAUAAAUUCUCUUGUUUGUACCAUAUCUGUCUAGCCCUUCAGGCCGUGACACGUGAAAAGAGUCUGACACCAAGGAGGGCCCUAUAACCCAUACUGGCAAGCCCAGCCCUAUGAUCGGUAGGCACCCUCAAC
rnacentral:lncRNA from 1 species